GCCGCUCUAGCCCUGGGGAGAGUUUGUGGUGGCUGCUCCCACCUGCUGCUGUGGCGGCUUCCUGGGCUGAGCGCUCCCGGCCCGCCGUGGCGAGCGGUGGGGACGCGCCGGAGGGGAGCCCCGCGGUGGGCGGCGGCGACCAGGCCAGCGCCGGUGGCGGGAGCGGGCGGGGGGUGAGGGUGGCCGUGGCGGCGGGAGAGGCGCCUGCGGAGGUGCGCCCGAGAGCAGCGUCCCGCCCGCUGCUGCGCGACUCACACAGCCCGCCUCGGUGCUGUGGGGCUGGAUCCGCGUAAAAGUGAAACGCUUGCUUUUAAUCACUUAUUUUCUCCUCAAUUCAGCGAGCUGUGUGUAAAGACUGCUGUUGCCGCUUUUGGCAUAGGAGCGCCGGUCGUCUUGAAGAUACUAAAACCCUUCAUCAGUGAUGAACUGCUUUCUCUGGUGUGUCCCAGCCUACCAUAAAUCAACACUGGCUUUGGGCCCAUGAUGCAUAGUCUAUAGGUGUCAUUACUGACUGAGAAGCUGAAAUUAUUUUUUCCCCGUGACAGCUGGAAAAAUGUUCAAAAAUCAAUAUCAGGGUGGCGCAUUUGUUGAAAUAUUCAGUGCUCAAGGCAAGAACCCUGGUGCAAAGUGGAAGAUUUCUGGCAAUCCAUCAGCUAUAUGGAAAGAGUAUGAUAAGGAGGUAAAAGGCUUUGUUUUUGUACUUGAAGGAAGCAGUCAAAUUAACAAAAUGCAGCUACCAAAGGAAGCUAGACAAACUCUUGGACUGAUCCAGCAGUUUCUGACACUUCAGAUUUUUGUGCCAUUGGGACAAGACUUCUCCACUGAGUUACUGAUAACUGAUUUAGGAAAUAUUAAAAGAAGAUUGUAUUUAUCAACAGUCCACAAGGAGUUGUCUGUAACCCCUCUGCAUGCAAAAAUUCCUCUUCUUAUGAUCAAGCGCAAAAUAUGGUGCAAUAUGUGUAUUGACUUGGUAGCAUUCACCAGUGAAAUAUUCAGAGGAGCUGUCUUCCAGUCUUUGGAUGGAAUUAUUAUUUCAGCUAACUGUAAACUGAGAAAGAUCUUCACUUUAAAAACCAAGCCUCAAGAUACAGCUGAGCAAGAUGUGUGUGUUGUUCCGUGUGCACCUGAUAAGCCAACAGAUGUUAUUCCUCGAAACUGCCAAUUAAAUACAGAUGUGCCUCAAGUUACACAGUUGCUGAACUUGACUAAAAUUCACAAGCCGGAAAUAAAAUGCAGGAGCCAUCCCAUGACAAUGCAAGAAACAGGUCCCUUGAUUAAUAGAAGACAAGGCAAUAUACGGAGCAGUAAAACUCAGGAUGUGUCACACAUUGCAUUUGGAUCAAAGAUCCUUGGACCUCCCCCAUCUUCAACCAGAAAAGUCAGCACUAGGGUAUCUGGAGAGGUAACAAAGACUAUGGGUAGCCAAACUAAUAGAUCCUGCCGACUUCAAAGUUUAGAAAAGGGAACUGAAGUUCUACAAGACGUUGACAGGUCAGAACUGUCGUUCUCACCGUGCAAUGAAUCUCUAGAUCAAGGAGGCAAAAGAAAUACUCACCAAACAACUAAAAAUGUACAUCAAAAUGACCCUGCAAAUCAGACACAGAAAACCUCUGAGAUUGGAGCAGCAGAACUUCAGCUCCCUCUGCCACAAGCACUAUCAACAGACGAGAGCAGUCCUAGAAGAUUAUGUCUAAAAAAUGUUGCCAAAACCACGUGGGAGAUAACCAAUGAUGAAUGGGUGUUUCCUGAAAUUGUCAGUGACACUUUUCAUUUGGAUAAGAGUGGGCAGUUUGCAGCUAUUCAAGAUUCAGCCUGCCAUAAUUUGACCUCAUCGCAGAAUGCUGCUGCUGAACAUCAAGGCAAUCAAACAAGUGAUGACCAAGUAAAUCAUGAAGAGAUUUUCACAUUUUCAUCAAGACCUCGGUCAGCUCGUCGUGGAAAGUCUCCAAAUAUGUCACCAGAAGGUUGCAUUUUCCCUUUGGAUUUGAAGCAAGACAGUAACCAAGCCCAAAGGGAAACCCAAAUUGAAGAUAACUUUCAAGGAACUGACAGCAGUGAAGAGGGUGACAACAGUGAAUUCAUCCAGGGUACUGAAUACCUUGAGACCAGCCACAGCAGGCAAGGAACAUCUGAUUCAGCAGUUUUUAAAGAGAUCCCAUUAAAGAGAAUGCCAUGGAGAAAUGAAUACUGGAAGAAUAAGGGAGACAGCAAACACAACCUCAAGGAAACCAUGUUGUCAAAACCACAGUGUUCUGCUAUGAAAAAAACAGAUUCUGCUACCUCUCAGAGAAGCUUAAUGCCUACCCCUUGUCUUUCUCCUACUGGAAGUAAAUCAGAGUUCUUUAGAGUAAUUCCAAAUGCAUCUGAAAAACCUGAAAGAUCUGAAGGAGUGUUUGGUCAAUUAAAAACAUCAGUCAAUAGAAAGUCUAUGAAGAAAAUCUCAAGAGAAAAUUCGUGUAUGACAACGGAGGCUUGUGAGUAUGACUGGAAAAACUACCAGUCAAAUAAACUAAGUGCAUCUGAGCUACAGAUGCUGGCUAGCAUGACAAGACAGCAAAACGAAGAAUUAGGGGAUACUGGGAUCUCACAUGGGUUGAGCGCAUCACAGAUAGACGACUGCAAUGUUAGCAUAAGCACAAGCAGUGAUGAUACAGCAACCUGGAACUCUUCCUUCCCACCGCCUGUCAGUCAAGAGCAUCACUAUCAGAAAGAAAUGAGCCCACUUUCUCAUUCCGACCCACGAGACUGGUUGUGUGUGUUCAGUCCCCCUAUCGUUCCUGCAAGCCAACAGCUAGAAGAACAAUCUUCAGUAAAUCAGAGUAUUCCAGGUGAAGAUGACUUCAGUGCUGAAGAAGAGGAGGAAGUCUUGACUCUUUUGUAUGAUCCAUGUCUGAACUGUUACUUUGAUCCAAACACUGGGAAGUAUUAUGAAUUGGCAUAGCCAGAUCAUGAGGAUAUUAGUUUGUAUUCAGAAUAGGUUUGUCUUCUAACUGUUUUAACUGCAAAGUGUGACUGAGCUAUAUAAUCUAUCAUGUAACUUAAAAUUGGAAUUAAGCAAUAGUUUUGUAAACAAAUGAAUAUAGUUUGUAAAUAAUGUGUCUUAUUUUUAUAAUUUUGUAUUAAGUUGCAGUACAGUGGAAAAUCACAUAACAUAGAAGUUCCUUGUGGCUAAGACAUUUAUUUGUUUGUCUAAUUUAUUUCCAAUAUUCAAAGGUUCUGUAUGGGAACAAAUUAAGUUGAAGAGCUUUUGCAGUGUUCAUCUGUAAAUGAUGGCUUGACUCAAAUCUUUUUUUCCUUUCCUGCUUACUGUAUAUUUUUAAUUGAUUCCAAGCUAUCUUAUCUGUUGUAGUCUAAGAUGAAUAGUGUGUUGCUUAAAGGCCUCUAUUUCGUGAGCUCUCUCUCGCUUUAGUCAUCAGAAAAAGCAACAUUUGCCUCAUCUUUGAGUAAUUCUCUACUAUUACAUACUGCAGGAAGGGGUUAACAUCAAAGCUGAAUGGUGGUACACAGUGUACAGGGCAGUGCACUUCGAGGUGUGUGCGUGGGCAAUCUGUGAAUCCAAACCACAACAGGGUAAAUGUGAAAGACCUGAGUAUACCCACAGCCCUCAUUUUACUGGUGUAAUUUAACGUGAGGCUGAGGAGGAGUGGCAAGAGUGAUUGCAUCUCCAAAAUUUGAGCCUCGUAUACCUUCACAGUAAGGCAAGAAGACAUGUAUAUGAUUCAUAUGUGAAGUUGUGCUCAGAGUAUAGUUUUCCUAUGUUUGUAUUAUUUAUUCUGUUACAUGUCUUAAUAAAAGAACAUAUGUGAUUUAACCUGUCUGUUUUGCCUGCAGUGUUCAGUGAGGGCCCCAGACUUCCAGCUGAGAGAUUUAAAACUCCUGCAUUGCUGUGGGAUCUAUUCAAAAUAGAAAUGGAGAUGAUUUUUUUUCCUGUUGCACAUAUGAUAUCCUUGUUUACCAUGGAGAAAGACUGUGGAGAUAAACCAGUCCAUGUAUAGCCUCUGAAAAUAAUGAAAAUGAAUAAAAUACUGUGUAUGCAAACAUGCCAAGCUUUACUGUCUGCUAUAAGAUUCAGUUGACCUAACCUGUGAUCACAGCACCAUCCCCUUGCAUUUCUGCAGUGCCUGGCUCAAAACGGUGCCUGGUGUGUCCAGCUGCAGAGCAGGAAAAGGUCUGCAAUACUGCGUUGUGCUGCCUGCUGGUCAUGCGUCCCCCUGCCAAUAGGACACUAGCUCAAAGGGUUAAAUCAAUCAUAAAAAAUCAGCUGCUAGUAUUAAGGAAAAAGGUGUGGGGCAGAGGUUGCAAAGAGUCCAAGGAGAGUUAUGCUGUAAUGGAGUUUAGUUAGUGGACAGCUUUAGAUUUCACCAGUAUUCAGUACUAACAUUAUGGUUUUCUGGAGAUGGUUAAAAGGCCUAUCAAAAUCACAAGGCAAAAGCGAUCUAAAGACAUUUCUGGUGAUGCUUGUUCUAACCAUUUUACUUGAAUAUGUCCCAUGCUAAUCCACCGUAAUCAUUUGCAAGCUGAUUACUUAGUGAAUUUUUAAGAAUGAUGCAUUUGAAUGUCGUAAAGUGAGCUCAGGUUGCAACUGGCAAGUGAUUUAAAAUGAUGUGUCCCUAAAUUAUUAGUAAUUAUGGAUGCCAGUUAAUGAAUAUCCUAGAAUCAAUUGAAAAUGCCGUUGUUAAUAGUGGCUUGGCAUAAGAUCAGACUGUGUAUUUGGCUUCCUUGGCAGGUACAAACAUAUCAUCACAAAUUGAUUCGAGUAAGAGUAGCACUGAAAUCCACAGGAAGACAGAUAUUGCGUUGAUAUAAUUCACUUACCCUGCCUCAGCCUGUUUCUCCUAGAAAGAUUCAUGUCUGUUUUUGCUAAUGCCAUAAUCAAUUUAAAAGUUCAGUGAAAUCGUCAUUUUGCCCUUCAAAAAUCAGAUCAUAGCUUGUACAUGAUUUGCAGAUCUAACCACCUUCUUUUUAGCAUCAUUUAGUGAUUAGGACCAUCUUCUCUGUAUUUUUGGCAAGGGCUAUUUAAAAUGUAUUGCUAAUUUUCCUUUCAUAGUCCCAUGUCUCAAAGGAGUGGUUGGAUGUUCAGCCACUGCGAAUCCGGGCACUGACGCUUCUGAGAUAUGGCUCACUUGCAGCGGAACCUGGCUGAAAGCUGGUGUAUGUUAUUUAAGAGUCAAAAGUCUGCAAAGGGCAAACUGAUUGUCCGCGACUGUCUCUGAGUAGAUGUGCUUGUCCUGGCUUCACACCAGGUAAUCUCUAAUGUGUCACAUUUAAAAAAAUGCAAGUGGACAGAAAAAGCUUGGAUGAAAGGGAGUCAUUAACAGCUCUUCACUCUUACCCUUGUCUUUGACGGGAUAAGGAGGCAGACGGGCAGUAACACAAGGUUCAGGAUGAGACUAUUGUUUGUCAGGUUCAUAAGCAAGGCCAGAUACGUUGUUUGUGUUUUCCUGUCAUUAGCACAGUAGUAUUUUAAAGGUAAGACCUCUCCAAAAUCAUCAAUUCGGGAUCCUUGCCCUUUGUGUUCUAGUUGGCAGCUUUGUUAUAAUGCUGUGAACAGCACCUGCAAGUUAAGAGGUACAAACAGUUUAGCUACAAGGGCCAUAACUUUUGCUCCCAAUGUUUUCCUUAAUCAUCAUUCUGUGAACCUAGAACUAAAGCACUGCUGGCAUGCAGCAUGAUUUUUCUUUAGCCAGUUUGUCAAAAACAGCAUUUAUGGCAAGUCUUAAAGCUAACACACAGAUUUGCUCCUGGUACUCAUGUGCAAUGUUUUAACUUGAAGUCCUUGAGAUUCACAUAGUUCUCACUACUGUGUGCUUUCAAACAGGUUAAAAAAAAAAAAAAAGUGGUGCAUGGGCAUAAAAUUUUGGGUUAAUGAAACUAUUUGCAGACAUUUUUUCUACAGACACAGCAUCAGAUAGGAUUUUUGAGAAGAGAAGCUUUGAAAUGAAAUAAAUUUUAAUAAGGCCUCAUUAAUGUUCCCUAGAAUAUGCAUUGAAAGUGCAGGAAUUGGAGAUAGCUUAGCUGAUCUGCCUGAGUCAGCAAAUCCCAAUUGCAGCUCAUCAAUCAAUCGCUCCAGCCUUUGGACAUCCUGUACACACAGAAGGUCUGUUUAUUCUGAGGUUUCCUCCAAAGUCCAACCGAAUAACCUGGUUUCAGCCUUUGGAUCGCUGUGGACUACAGCAGCAUUGAGGCGUAGGUCACAGACAACAUGGUACGUGUGGGCACUGGCGCAGACUCCUCCAGAGCAACUGCUAGGACUCUGUAAUCUUUGAUCCUGCGGUAUUGUCACUAGUUGUACCCAAGUGUUGCGUGUGCAUGUGAGCCUCAUUAUGCCGAACAAAUGUAUAAGGAACACACUCUCCUAAGGAGCCUAUAGUAGGACAUCAAUAUUGAUUUUGCUCCUCUGCUGCUGUGAUUACUGGGUAAGAAAACCUGAAAAAUAAUUCUUUAUUUAUCACAUGUCCUUCAGCUGUUAAGCAUGCUAUUUAGGGGCACUUUCCAGUUAAACUUUUUGUCAAAAUGCUGAGAUUGCAAAGGUUAAAUGCCCCCAAAAAAUCCAUGAAAAUCGUUUUGCAUAACAAUCAUGUUGAUUUCAGUUUUUCCAUUAUAUUUCUGUAUUACAGAAAUGGGCUUAUUUUUAAGCAAUGGACUACAUGUAAAAUGAAAAGGCAAUCCAGUCUCUUUUCUAUGUGGUAUUGCUGAUAAUCACCAUUUUUCUCAUGGUUACUAUAGUAACUUGGCAUCCUUAGCUGCCACCUUUUUUGGCACUUAAAAAAACUCUUUAAAUUCAGUUCCCUGAUAAACUGAAAGCUUGGCUUCAUGAUACCCAUGGGAGUGUGUAAGUGUAACAACAAUACUUGUCAUUUUUCUUACUUGGUGUUUAACUUGCUUGUUAGCAACUGUGCAGGCAGUUCGAACUGUGAUGUUUCAGGAUCCUGCUGCAGGCGUUAUAACCAGCACAAAGGCUGAUACCCUGGAUGAAAUCCUGGAAACGGCCAUGGGCUCCCGAGGGGUCACACACUGCAGCCCGACAUGUGAAGAACUGAGCAGGAUUUCGCUCUCGUCACAUCACUGUAAAAGCAGUUCUGCCUCUGAGUUUGACAACUUUCAAGAGGAGAAAUAAUCUGUGGACAUGAAACUACAUGGUGGGAAUCAUUUUGAAGGCUCCUGUGGUAAAUCAGUGGCAGAUCAACAACCUGUUGAUGCUUUUAAUCCCUUUUCAAGUGUGUGUGUGCGGUCGAUGCGGCAGAUGAGAGGGGCCCAGAGCCGGGGAUGCUGGAGAGCAAGGAGUGCCCAAUGCACUGCAGAGAGAGGGGGAAGCCUGUUGGCACAAUGUUUUUGGAGUAACCUGCAGAGCCUUUACAGCAUGCCUUUACAUCCGCGUUUCCAGUGCAGCCUGCAGCCUGUGUACCACUGCAACCCCAUGGUCACCGUGUGGCCCAAGCAUCUUUGCCCAAACUCAUCCCUUUGUCUUCUGUGACCAAGCCAGGAUCAAACCGACAGCUGCAAUAAAAAUCACCUGCAACGUUGAGAUAAGUGCCUUGUGUUCAGAGACAUGCAGACCACGCAGGUAGCAGUGGAGAAAGGAGCGGUUUGGCACCAGUCACCCAACUGUAAAUCUCUGUGAGCAGGGACAGCCGCCCUGUGCUUGGCCCAUACCCUGCACCCCAGAGCCUUUGCCCUGUGCUGGAGGAGUCCAACAGUGCUUAAUAGUACCAGGUCCAAACUGCUAUAAUUGCUAAUGCAAUUUAUGGAGUUUUGUAUUUAAUUUGCAAUGAUCAGCAGUGAAUAAUAGAGGGAGGGAGACCCAAGAGGGCAUGUUCCUGCUCAGGACAUGCAGAGUGAUGAAGGGUUAGGGUGGUAAAAUGCAGAAAUAGCAUUUGUACUUGCACCCCUGUGGUGCUGUCCCAGCCAUGUAGCCCAGUUCCUCCCUUGCACCCAGUGUCCUGGGGCACCCACCCUGGGGCUGCCUUCCCACGGGCGAUACUGACGGGGCCUGAGCUAAACACCCGCAUUGCUGUGAGGCUUCCAGACACCAGGUGAGGACGUCAUCAACCAUUACUCAGAGACACCAUGUUUUAUAAGGGAGUCUCUUACAGAAAAAGACUCUUCUUGUGCGCUGCACGUUUACACCAAGGCUGGGACUCUCUACACCAGAGCUUGUAAAAACCUUUGAGACUCCUCUGUCACAAGGUAUCUGCGCUGAAAUGGCUGUGUCCUGUUCAUGAGUGUCUGCCACAGCAACACAGCUGAAGAUAAACGCUUGGCAAUUAUUUUGCCAUUGAUAUUACUCUACCAUGCUCUGAUUUCUUGCAGUGCAUUACACAUUAUUUCAUAUGAUCUAUAUUAAUCCUCAUGUGCCAAUAGAAGGAUAUGUCUGAUCUAGCUGUAAGGUGCUCAAAGGACACAUCUUUUAUUGAGGUCUUCUGUUAACUUCCAGGUCUUGAGCAAGCCGAAGCAAGCUGGGUGCUGAGACAGAGCUGGGGAGCAUGUUCACUUGCAGCAAUCUACCGCUCCAUCUCCUGGCCGCAACUUCCCUUCCAGAGUUGCCUGCAAGUCACACAUGCAGAAAGAAGGAGCAGUGAUAUCCGUGUGGAUAGAAAUGGUCCUGUUCGGGCUGCAAUGCCAAGGAGACAGUGCUGGGGUGGUGCUCCGCAUCCUGGGCCCACAACACUGCCUCUCCUGACAGCAGCUUUUGGCUCAGGGUGAGGACUGUGCCAAGGCGCCUGGCCAGCCUGCAGGAGCACAGCAGCGUUUGCACGCAUCCUGCACAGCGGUCGUCUGAAAACUCACCCCUGCAAGCCAGGACUGCCGCCCUGGCCAGGAUCAUGAUGCCAGGAGAGCAAACACUGCCAGCCAAGGAAAGGGUAUGCUUGCAACAAACCCCUUUAAUAAGAAGCAGUUCAGCCAGCUCUGGUUGAAGCACAGCAGCUUCCCCACUGUCUGUCCAUCACUGUCAGGGCUGCUGGGGUCCUGCUCGGACAGGAUUUGGUACCAGCGAUGCUCAGGCUUGGUCCUUUGCUCUGUGUAAUAAAGCUAAUGUCUGCAAUGAGA